UGGGGAAUUUUGGACAAUGGACGCAAGUCUGAUCCAGCCAUGCCGCGUGCGGGAAGAAGGCCUUCGGGUUGUAAACCGCUUUUGUCAGGGAAGAAACGAGUUUCUCUAAUACAGAGACUUAAUGACGGUACCUGAAGAAUAAGCACCGGCUAACUACGUGCCAGCAGCCGCGGUAAUACGUAGGUGGCAAGCGUUGUCCGGAUCUACUGGGCGUAAAGCGUGCGCAGGCGGUUAUAUAAGACAGAUGUGAAAUCCCCGGGCUCAACCUGGGAACUGCAUUUGUGACUGUAUAGCUAGAGUACGGCAGAGGGAGAUGGAAUUCCGCGUGUAGCAGUGAAAUGCGUAGAUAUGCGGAGGAACACCGAUGGCGAAGGCAAUCCCCUGGACCUGUACUGACGCUCAUGCACGAAAGCGUGGGGAGCAAGCA
rnacentral:rRNA from 1 species